UUUUAAUUAAAUGAAUAUUGCUAUUUGUUAGUAUAUAUAUUCGUUGUUACAAAUAUAUCUACGUGUUGUCGUAGCUCAGCGGUAGAGCUCAUAAAACCACGUCGUUUUGAUUUAACAGAAAAUUCUAACAAAAAGUUAACUCCGUUUACAAAAAUUUCACGGCAUGCCCACAAUGGCCCAAUCAACAAAAUUUGACUAUUUAAUCAAAAAAUCAAAAAAAA
rnacentral:sRNA from 1 species